UACGGAGGGGGCUAGCGUUGUUCGGAAUCAUUGGGCGUAAAGAGCGCGCAGGCGGUCGUUCAAGUCGCGUGUGAAAGCCCCCGGCUCAACUGGGGAGGGUCACGCGAUACUGAUCGACUCGAAGGCAGGAGAGGGUAGUGGAAUUCCCGGUGUAGUGGUGAAAUGCGUAGAUAUCGGGAGGAACACCAGUGGCGAAGGCGACUACCUGGCCUGUUCUUGACGCUGAGGCGCGAAAGCUAGGGGAGCAAACGGG
rnacentral:rRNA from 1 species